rnacentral:rRNA from 1 species
CAGCCCUAAACGAUGCGCGUUAGGUGUAUCGGUGACCACGAGUCACCGAGGUGCCGAAGGGAAACCGUGAAACGUGCCGCCUGGGAAGUACGGUCGCAAGGCUGAAACUUAAAGGAAUUGGCGGGGGAGCACCACAACGGGUAGAGCCUGCGGUUUAAUUGGACUCAACGCCGGGAAGCUCACCGGAUAAGACAGCGGAAUGAUUGCCGGGCUGAAGACCCUGCAUGACCAGCUGAGAGGAGGUGCAUGGCGUGUGACUGU